CCAGACUCCUACGGGAGGCAGCAGUGGGGAAUAUUGGGCAAUGGAGGAAACUCUGACCCAGCAACGCCGCGUGAAGGAUGAAGGUUUUCGGAUUGUAAACUUCUGUUGCGAGGGAUGAAGAAUGACGGUACCUCGUGAGGAAGCCCCGGCUAACUCCGUGCCAGCAGCCGCGGUAAUACGGAGGAUGCGAGCGUUAUCCGGAUUUAUUGGGUUUAAAGGGUGCGUAGGCGGACUGUUAAGUCAGCGGUAAAAGCCGGGGGCUCACCCCCGGGGAGCCGUUGAAACUGGCUGUCUUGAGAUGUCGAGAGGUAUGCGGAAUGCGCGGUGUAGCGGUGAAAUGCUUAGAUAUUGCGCAGAACUCCGAUUGCGAAGGCAGCAUACCGGCGGCGAUCUGACGCUGAGGCACGAAAGCGUGGGUAUCGAACAGGAUUAGAUACCCGAGUACG
rnacentral:rRNA from 1 species